AACCUCCGCAAUGUGAGAAAUCGCGACGGGGGGAUCCCAAGUGCCAUUCUUAACGGGAUGGCUUUUCAUUAGUGUAAAGAGCUUUUGGAAUAAGAGCUGGGCAAGACCGGUGCCAGCCGCCGCGGUAACACCGGCAGCUCUAGUGGUAACAAUUUUUAUUGGGCCUAAAGCGUCCGUAGCCGGUUUAAUAAGUCUCUGGUGAAAUCCUGUAGCUUAACUGUGGGAAUUGCUGGAGAUACUAUUAGACUUGAGACCGGGAGAGGUUAGAGGUACUCCCAGGGUAGAGGUGAAAUUCUGUAAUCCUGGAAGGACCGCCUGUUGCGAAGGCGUCUAGCUGGAACGGUUCUGACGGUGAGGGACGAAAGUUAGGGGCGCGAACCGGAUUAGAUACCCGGGUAGUCCUAACUGUAAACGAUGCGGACUUGGUGUUGGGGUGGCUUUGAGCUGCUCCAGUGCCGAAGGGAAGCUGUUAAGUCCGCCGCCUGGGAAGUACGGUCGCAAGACUGAAACUUAAAGGAAUU
rnacentral:rRNA from 1 species